GCUUAAAUAGUUUAAUAAAAAUAUUGAUUUGUGAUAUCAAAGAUAUAAUUUAGUUAUUUUAGGCA
rnacentral:tRNA from 1 species